UUUUACCCUUAGGUAAAAAAAGACUUAAUGUUUGGGCACUAAUUUGUACCUGGAUGUUAAUCAGAGACAAUGGUUCAUUGUCAGACAUCUAUUCCAAAAAAUGUAAAUGAAUCAACGAUGUUAGUCUUCAACCUUAAUAUUAGUGAAGCUGAAGAUUUCUCACUACACCUUUUGGACAACGUUGAGUGCCUCAUAUAUCGCCACCGCGCUUUGCUCCCACACCUUUGACUGUAACCAAUAACCAUCGGAAACAAGCCAUAAAAACGGGGCCAUGUACCUGGACUUAAUCUCUACUUCUACUAACAAAAAAGCGCAGAAACCCAACAACUACUACAACAAUAACAUCAACAACUGAUCUCUGUGGACUUUUUGAGCCGUGCGGAAAAAGAAUUUGGGGUUCAAACACCUCAAAAUGAUGUCAUGGACUGGUUUCUUUCUUGAUUUUAUUUUCCCUCUAAUGGAAAUAUUGCAGAAAGCGACACACGGGGGGAUGUUACCUCAUGAGCCUAAAUAUUACUUAACACAGGGUUCAAUUAGAUGAUAAAGGAAGUUGGUCAUUUACAACUUCCAAAGAAAGGGUUGAAAAAUAUAUAUCAAAUCUUUAACAAGUUCUUUAUUAUGCAAAAAUGUUUUCUGUGAUGAGUGAGUAUGAUACUUUUUAUUGGGCAACACAAGCUAUAGAGGCUACUGGUCAUUGUUGCCAUGAUAUUAACUAGUAAUAUCAUAGACAUUAACUUGUGUGAAAACAAAGGUUAUAACAAUAUGUAACACUUGUCCUAUUGACUUUCCCUGCAGAAUACUAAUGAGAUUAAACUAGUUUCUGAUCAGGCAAAUCAGUCAGGAGGAUUUAGCUACAGCUCCUUCUGAUCUAUUCCAGAGGAAAUACUGCAAAUGGAUUUAAAUGACAUGAUACACUUUUGUGUGUGAGUGUGCCGGAGAGAUGAAAGUUACCUCAAAAGCUUGUCUGUCUUGUGAUGAGGUCACUCAUCUGAUUUUAAAAUGAUGUCAAGAGUGGGCUAGACUUUAAGUGUACCUUUGGGCUGCUGAUGCCGACCGUUAACUAUCUGCUCUUUUACUACAAAAACUAACAAAAAUGACCCUGGAAAUGUUUCCAUUUCCUGUUCAAUUGUUCAUCUUUUCUUCAAGUGUCUUUGAGACUGCACUACAGUAUGGUGUGUUGUUGUGAACAAAAGAAAGUGAGCGUUUCCCAUGUAAGAUUUGUCCAUGUGUAAAAUACUUGUCGUCUAUGUAAUCUUAAGUCAUGUAUACCGUUAUUAUAUAAAUCAUUUGCUUUGAAUCCUGUGUUUUUUUUUCCUCAAGCAAGCACAGUGUUUUUAGGGUUGCUCCGUAUUGGAAUUUGCCCGAUAGACUCAAAUAGCUGGAUCAAGCAUCGCUCACAAUGGGUACAAAGUUCAAUUCUAUGUUUAUAUUUACAUAUUACACUGGAAUUUUAAUUCCUGUUCAAGUUUCAAUGUGUUGCUCCAUUUAUAUGUCCAGCCUUGAAUUGCAAUUUCGUUUCAUUUUGAAUAUUGUAUUUUUACAAUUGUGUUGCCCUUGGUGUACAAUUUAUUAUUUUAAUAAUAAAUACCAAUUCAGGACAUUUAUAUACAUGCAUUUAAUUGUUGCACUUUUCUUUACAAAGUAAGGUUUAUAUCGAGCCAGAUGUUUCCGUGCACAUGCCAGAAUAAUCCCAGUGACUGAGACAGAAAUCCAGAGCUGCAGAUGACACGAUGGUUCAUUACC
ensembl:lncRNA